rnacentral:rRNA from 1 species
AAUUGACGGGGCCCGCACAAGCGGUGGAGCAUGUGGUUUAAUUCGAUGCAACGCGAAGAACCUUACCAGGGCUUGACAUCCCCUGACCGCGUAUGAAAGUACGUUUUCACCCUCGGGUGACAGGGAGACAGGUGGUGCAUGGUUGUCGUCAGCUCGUGUCGUGAGAUGUUGGGUUAAGUCCCGCAACGAGCGCAACCCCUACGUUUAGUUGCUAACAGGUGAAGCUGAGCACUCUAGACGAACUGCCGUUGACAAAACGGAGGAAGGUGGGAUGACGUCAAAUCAUCAUGCCCCUUAUGUUCUGGGCUACACACGUGCUACAAUGGCCGGUACAGACGGAGGCGAAGCCGCGAGGCGGAGCAAAUCCGAAAAAGCCGGUCUCAGUUCGGAUUGCAGGCUGCAAUUCGCCUGCAUGAAGUCGGAAUCGCUAGUAAUCGCAGGUCAGCAUACUCGCGGUCGAAUACGUUCCCGGGCCUU